UCCUAGUACUACUCUCGCCCAAGC
rnacentral:siRNA from 1 species